UACGAAGGGAGCUAGCGUUGUUCGGAAUCACUGGGCGUAAAGCGCACGUAGGCGGACUAUUAAGUCAGGGGUGAAAUCCCGGGGCUCAACCCCGGAACUGCCUUUGAUACUGGUAGUCUCGAGUCCGGAAGAGGUGAGUGGAAUUCCGAGUGUAGAGGUGAAAUUCGUAGAUAUUCGGAGGAACACCAGUGGCGAAGGCGGCUCACUGGUCCGGUACUGACGCUGAGGUGCGAAAGCGUGGGGAGCAAACAGG
rnacentral:rRNA from 1 species